GAAUUCGCCCUUAGAGUUUGAUCCUGGCUCAGAAUNGAACGCUGGCGGCGUGCCUAACACAUGCAAGUUGAGCGGUAAGGNCCCUUCGGGGGUACACGAGCAGCGAACGGGUGAGUAUCGCNNGNGUAACCUACCCAGAAGUGGGGAAUAGCCUCGGNANNCCGGGGGUAAUACCGCAUAAGGUUUCGACGACAUAAGUCGAUGAGAGCAAAGGCGGGGAUCCUUCGGGACCUGUCGCUUCUGGAUGGGCCCGCGUCCGAUUAGCUAGUUGGUGAGGUAAUGGCUCACCAAGGCUUCGAUCGGUAGCCGGCCUGAGAGGGCGAACGGCCACAUUGGGACUGAGACACGGCCCAGACUCCUACGGGAGGCAGCAGUGGGGAAUCUUGGGCAAUGGGGGGAACCCUGACCCAGCGACGCCGCGUGGAGGAUGACGGCCUUCGGGUUGUAAACUCCUGUCAGGUGGGAAGAAAAGCCUGUCGGCCAAUACCCGGCAGGAAUUAACGGUACCACCAAAGGAAGCCCCGGCUAACUCCGUGCCAGCAGCCGCGGUAAUACGGAGGGGGCAAGCGUUAUUCGGAUUUACUGGGCGUAAAGCGCACGUAGGUGGCAUGGUAAGUCACAGGUGAAAGCCCUCGGCUCAACCGAGGAACUGCCUGUGAAACUG
rnacentral:rRNA from 1 species